rnacentral:rRNA from 1 species
GACGAACGCUGGCGGCGUGCUUAACACAUGCAAGUCGAACGGAAAGGCCCUGCUUUUGUGGGGUGCUCGAGUGGCGAACGGGUGAGUAACACGUGAGUAACCUGCCCUUGACUUUGGGAUAACUUCAGGAAACUGGGGCUAAUACCGGAUAGGAGCUCCUGCUGCAUGGUGGGGGUUGGAAAGUUUCGGCGGUUGGGGAUGGACUCGCGGCUUAUCAGCUUGUUGGUGGGGUAGUGGCUUACCAAGGCUUUGACGGGUGGCCGGCCUGAGAGGGUGACCGGCCACAUUGGGACUGAGAUACGGCCCAGACUCCUACGGGAGGCAGCAGUGGGGAAUAUUGCACAAUGGGCGGAAGCCCGAUGCAGCAACGCCGCGUGCGGGAUGACGGCCUUCGGGUUGUAAACCGCUUUCGCCUGUGACGAAGCGUGAGUGACGGUAAUGGGUAAAGAAGCACCGGCUAACUACGUG